UUUUAUUUUUUCCCUAAACUUUUACUUCUCAUCCUUUACCCCCAAAUAAAAAAUUAAAAUCAUCUAAAAAAAAUCCUAAACCCAAAUAAUAAUAAAUUUAUUUAUAUCUACUAUUUAUAUUAUUAAAUUAAAUUUCACAUUUUGUACUAUUUAUAUUAUUGAAUUGUUUUAUCAUAUUGAAUAUUUAUAAUUUUUUGCUAAAAUUGAAUUAUUGAUGAUGCCAUAAAAUAUUCGUGUUAAAAUUUUAUGUUGGUAUCAAUUUCACAUUUUAUUAAAAAAACACAUUUUUUGCAUUUAAUAUAUUUUUUAAUUUCAAAAUACAUAGUGACAUGAAUCAGAAGAUAAUUGAAGCAACUAAGCAAGCAAAGAAGUUAACCCGUAUAUAAAAGAUUAAUAAAUAAAUUAUAAGGGGAUGAAAGUUAAUAAAAAAUUUGAUUACGAUGGAAAAUUUUGAUUACGGUGGGUGACAGUGAUUACAAGGACCUAAAAUAUUUUUUUAAUUUAACUCGAACAAAUAUAUUCGAUUCGAUUCGAAUUCCAUCUCACUCGACUCGAUUUGAGAAAAUUUUAAAUCGAGUUAGGAUGACAAAAUAUGAUUCGUCAACUCGAUUAACUCGAAAUUUUUUCAUUCGAUUUAAUCGAACGCUCACCCCUAGUUGAGAGAUAAGUAGUUCUUGUCGACUCGUUAGUUUAGUGGAAGAUCGAGAGAUCCUGCUAGGGUGACAACUAGUUGAUUGAGUAGAAACCAAAAAUAGGAAUUAGUUAUGAUUAUUGAAGCAAGCUAAUCACCCAUACCUAGAUUUGAUUAAGUUAGAAUUCAUUCAAUCGAAGUUCACUUUAUUUAUGUUGUUUUUAUUUUGUUAUUAUAAAAAUCCAAAAAUCUUUCCUUUAUGUUUCGUCGUAAUAUAAUUUAUUUAAACUACUAAUUAAUUCCAUUUGCGUUUAGGUUAAUUUUAAUUUAAUACUUGACUCCCUUGGGUACGAUUGUUAGAAUACUCACCUAUUCUGUUGUAAAAAUUAUAUUACAACUUGACCCGUAUACUUGCGAACACUACUAAUUGAAUACUCGUCCUUGUGGGUUUUGGUUCCACGAGACCAAGUUGUUUGAACAUUUUAUAAGUCAUUAAAUUUAUACUAGUACCAAAAUUAGCCAAUGCUUUUUCAAUGUUUAAAUUACCAAUAAAACAAGUGAUAGUAAAACUUCAUAGAUCUUUCAACUUAGUGGGCAGCUUGUUUUGAAAAAUGGCCAAACACUCCUCUUUUAGUUCCAAGUGGAUAACUAUUCUAACUUCCUUUUAUUUGUUAACAACUCCUUUAAAAAUAUUGUAUAUUUGGGCAUCUAUGAAAGAGCUUUAACAAAAUGUACGUUAAUAUGUCAUUGUUAUAUAGAGUAUUAUUAAUCCAUGGAUAUAUAGAUUCUAAAUUUUAUUAUUAUUAUAUAGAUAUAGAUUGAUUAUAUAGAUAUAUCCAACUUUUCUAUAGAGAUAUAGAACUUUUAUCAGUAAUUCCAUUUCAUUUAUAUUAUAUUUUACAUCAUUUAUAUUUUUAAAUAAAACAAGGGCUCUAAAGAAAUAUCUCAAAUAACAAAAAAAGAAAAAGAAAAAGAAAGAAAGAAUAUCGCUUUGAUUUCCAAAUUCCACGGACCGGCCUAGUCAGUACUCGGCCGGGCUCAUUUUUUUAUUUUCAACUCAAAUAACUCAUUUUUUCUAUGAUUCUGCGAUCUGGCUUGUUGUAACAAAAAAAAUCUUGUUAUUGCAUUGAAUCAACAAUCAAAAGUAGAAGAAGUCCUAUUUCUGUUCCUAUGAUAUAGAAUCAAAAUAUUAUUUCUAUUCUUUUUCUUUCUUCCUAUUUCUUUUUAUUUCCAUUUAUUUUAUAUUUUACUAUAAUAAUUAGAAUAAAUAAUUAAAAAAACUAUGGAUUUUUGCACAAUCCAUUUUUAUGUUAUUUAUGUUAUGACUAAGUCCUUUUGUCGAAUCCUAUCUAUCAAAACUCCUAUAACACAAGUCUUCUGACAAAAGGUGGCAAGGCCCUAAUUUUCAGGAUUUUUUAGCCUCU
rnacentral:lncRNA from 1 species